GGGCGAUUAGCUCAGUUGGUCAGAGUACUUGGUCGACAUCCAAGGGGUCAUUGGUUCGAGUCCAAUAUCGCCCACCA
rnacentral:tRNA from 1 species